CGCAGUGGGGGGGCUAUAAUGCAGUCGAGCGGACAGAUGGGAGCUUGCUCCCUGAUGUUAGCGGCGGACGGGUGAGUAACACGUGGGUAACCUGCCUGUAAGACUGGGAUAACUCCGGGAAACCGGGGCUAAUACCGGAUGGUUGUCUGAACCGCAUGGUUCAGACAUAAAAGGUGGCUUCGGCUACCACUUACAGAUGGACCCGCGGCGCAUUAGCUAGUUGGUGAGGUAACGGCUCACCAAGGCGACGAUGCGUAGCCGACCUGAGAGGGUGAUCGGCCACACUGGGACUGAGACACGGCCCAGACUCCUACGGGAGGCAGCAGUAGGGAAUCUUCCGCAAUGGACGAAAGUCUGACGGAGCAACGCCGCGUGAGUGAUGAAGGUUUUCGGAUCGUAAAGCUCUGUUGUUAGGGAAGAACAAGUGCCGUUCAAAUAGGGCGGCACCUUGACGGUACCUAACCAGAAAGCCACGGCUAACUACGUGCCAGCAGCCGCGGUAAUACGUAGGUGGCAAGCGUUGUCCGGAAUUAUUGGGCGUAAAGGGCUCGCAGGCGGUUUCUUAAGUCUGAUGUGAAAGCCCCCGGCUCAACCGGGGAGGGUCAUUGGAAACUGGGGAACUUGAGUGCAGAAGAGGAGAGUGGAAUUCCACGUGUAGCGGUGAAAUGCGUAGAGAUGUGGAGGAACACCAGUGGCGAAGGCGACUCUCUGGUCUGUAACUGACGCUGAGGAGCGAAAGCGUGGGGAGCGAACAGGAUAGAUACUGGGGAGAAUCCAAA
rnacentral:rRNA from 1 species